rnacentral:tRNA from 1 species
AAAGGCUUAGUUAAAAAAUUAACAUUAACUUGUCAAAUUAAAAUUGCAUUAAAAAGCAGCCUUUA